rnacentral:rRNA from 1 species
UACGGGGGGAGCAAGCGUUGUUCGGAUUUACUGGGCGUAAAGGGCGCGUAGGCGGCGCAACAAGUCAGUUGUGAAAUCUCUGGGCUUAACCCAGAGCGGUCAACUGAUACUGUCGGGCUAGAGUCCGGAAGAGGCGAGUGGAAUUCCUGGUGUAGCGGUGAAAUGCGCAGAUAUCAGGAGGAACACCAAUGGCGAAGGCAGCUCGCUGGGACGGUACUGACGCUGAGGCGCGAAAGCGUGGGGAGCAAACAGG